rnacentral:misc_RNA from 1 species
UCCCCCGUGAGGGGGCAGUCUCGCCUGACAUAUAUAACAGACAACGAGGGUUGCGUUCGUUACCCCACUGAAGGGAACAGCUCAAGCCACGAACUGACGACGACCAUGCAUCACCUGCCAAACACCCUCGAAGGAUUCUCUGUUUUCACAGAGCGUGCAGUUUGGUUUCUAGCCUUGGUAAGGUUCUUCGCUUGUCGACGAAUUAAGCCACAUGAUCCACCCCUUGUGCGAGUCCCCGUCUAUUCCUUUGAGUUUUAAUCUUGCGAUCGUACUACCCAGGCGGCUCGCUUACCGCGUUAGCUUAGUCCCACAGAGGGUCGAUACUCCGUAGAACGAGCGAGCAACGUUUAGGGCCAGGACUAC